UACUUGGUAAAUAUAGUUUAUUACUCUAAAUUAAUAUAAUUCCCCACCUGAAACAAUAAAUGUAGCAUGCAAUAUAUUGUUCCCUGUUUGAGGACAGAUACUGCUGCUUAUUGAUAUUUGCAUUGCUCAUACUACCCAAUAAGUGAUGAUGGUUGAAUGAAUCAAUUAAUGAAUGAGCAUGAGAGAAAAGCCAUAAGAACUAACCUCCCAUUCUAAUCCCUAGGCCCUCCCUGUUUCUCUUACUGAAUGCCUUUCCAGAUUAUUGAUGCUUUGCAUGAGCAAUAAGGAAAAAGGAAGCAAUCCAGAUGGGAGCGUAGCUGUGGUCAGAUGUCUCUGAAAUGAACAAAGUAUUUGCAGAUGUUUCAACAAGUGGAGGGGUUGGGCUGAGUCUAGGUCACAGGAAACAACUUCCACACGUUGGGGCUACUACAAUAAAGGUAUCAUCACUUACCAGCACAGGAUUCUGUUGGAAACUUGAAAAGGCACUCAGGGUUGGAAUGCUACAUGAAUCCAGACUUGUCUCAGGAAUGCCACAAGUGAUCAGAACUAAGUAUAGAAAUUAAUGUGGUUUGUAAAAAUAGCAAUAAGGAUCAUGUUUAUCUGGGAAUCAAAUCCUUUAAUCACUUUAGACAGAACUAAUGAAACUAGAAUAAACCAUCAUUGAUUGUGAGAGUCUCCUUCUAAAUUAGUUGGCCUUUGGCUUUUAGAGAGCAAAGUUCAAAUUCCAGUUCCUGUCUGACAGGAAAGUAAGUCAGACACAAAGUAGAUAGUCUUUUAGACUUCAAACUGAAACAGCAGGGCAUAAAGGAGAUCUGAGUCUUGAAGAACCUUUGCUUUCAGAGUUGCUGAGUUCAGUAUUGCUAAUGCAGUAUUUUUCAUUGUGCCUUUUGAGGCUGUUCAUUUUAGAUUUAUGAUAUUUGCCUUUGUUGGUAAAUAUGUUCAAAUAUAAAUAAAAAUUUUAUAUUUCCUAAUGAAAAAAUUCUAACUUCUACUCUUUUGUGCAUGCCCUGUUCUGAAGCAUGUUAACUUUCUAGCUGCAUGGUGGAUAAUAGGGCCCAUGUUUAUAGAUCCCAACUGUAAAGAUAAUAAGACACAAAGGCAUCUUAAAAAGUGAUCUGAGCAGCUUCUCGUUCUCGCCUGCCUGCCCGCUCGCUCCCUUGCUUGCUCGCGCUUUCCCUCACCCUCUCCUCGAGGAUGGAGGGGACUCUGACCACAGCCUGUGACUGGGAAGGGAGACAGAGGCAGCGGCGGCUCAGGGGAAACGAGAUUGCAGUGGUGGUAGUAGGAAGAUGUCGGGCAAGGAUGAGCAGCAGGAGCAAACUAUCGCUGAGGACCUGGUCGUGACCAAGUAUAAGAUGGAGGGUGACAUCGCCAACAGGGGUACUUCGGUCCUUGGUGGAAGCAUCUAGCUCAGGUGUGUCGGUACUGAGCCUGUGUGAGAAAGGUGAUGCCGUGAUUAUGGAAGAAACAGGGAAAAUCUUCAAGAAAGAAAAGGAAAUGAAGAAAGGUAUUGCUUUUCCCACCAGCAUUUCAGUAAAUAACUGUGUAUGUCACUUCUCCCCUUUGAAGAGCAACCAGGAUUAUAUUCUCAAGGAAGGUGACUUGGUAAAAAUUGAACUUGGGGUCCAUGUGGAUGGCUUCAUCGCUAAUGUAGCUCAUACUUUUGUGGUUGAUGUAGCUCAGGGGACCAAGUAACAGGGAGGAAGGCAGAUGUUAUUAAGGCAGCUCACCUUUGUGCUGAAGCUGCCCUACGCCUGGUCAAACCUGGAAAUCAGAACACACAAGUGACACAAGCCUGGAACAAAGUUGCCCACUCAUUUAACUGCACGCCAGUAGAAGGUAUGCUGUCACACCAGUUGAAGCAGCAUGUCAUUGAUGGAGAAAAAACCAUUAUCCAGAAUCCCACAGACCAGCAGAAGAAGGACCAUGAAAAAGCUGAAUUUGACAUACAUAAAGUGUAUGCUGUGGAUGUUCUUGUCAGCUCAGGAGAGGGCAAGCCCAAGGAUGCAGGACAGAGAACCACUAUUUACAAACAAGACCCUUCUAAACAGUAUGGACUGAAAAUGAAAACUUCACGUGCCUUCUUCAGUGAGGUGGAAACGCGUUUUGAUGCCAUGCCGUUUACUUUAAGAGCAUUUGAAGAUGAGAAGAAGGCUCAGAUGGGUGUGGUGGAGUGCGCCAAACAUGAACUGCUGCAACCAUUUAAUGUUCUCUAUGAGAAGGAGGGUGAAUUUGUUGCCCAGUUUAAAUUUACAGUUCUGCUCAUGCCCAGUGGCCCCAUGCGGAUAACCAGUGGUCCCUUCGAGCCUGACCUCUGCAAGUCUGAGAUGGAGGUCCAGGAUGCAGAGCUAAAGGCCCUCCUCCAGAGUUCUACAAGUCGAAAAACCCAGAAAAAGAAAACAAAGAAGGCCUCCAAGACUGCAGAGAAUGUCGCCAGUGGGGAAACAUUAGAAGAAAAUGAAGCUGGGGACAGGUGGGUCCCAUCUCCCCAGCUUGCUGCUCCUGCCUCAUCCCCUUCCCACCACACCCCGGACUCUGUGAAGCGCAGUUCUUCUUCUCCACCUAGGACCGCCAGCAGAGCAGGGGUCUCCCUGCCCCCACCCCAGUUCCCCAACCCACUCCCUUCCAACAACAACCAGCUCCAACUGACUCUGGUCUUGGGAGGCGAGGCUUCCCAACCACAGAAGACUACUUUAAAUGAAAAAAAGAAAUUGAAUAAUAAAGUCAAGAGUCAAAAAAAAAAAAAGUGAU